ACGUUUAUGUGAUUCUAAAUACCACUCUCAGCUCAGAAGAACAGAACCAGCUGUGGCAAGCAGUUCGAGAAAAAGCUGAUCACAGACAUAAGAUUCGACACCGACAGAAAAUCACUGCUGAAGACUGAGAAGACUCAGGGCCAGCAGCCCCCAUUGUGGGUGUCCAUCUCAGAGUCCAAGUUCCACUAAAACUCUCAGUCUGACAUACGUGCAUUCAACAGUGAAGUUGUCCUGGCUAAAACACCUGGCACCAGAGUCUACCUGGACAUCAACCUUCAUCCUGUCGACUCCCCGAGGCUCCAGUUCAGUACCCUCUGCCAGCAGGAAGUAGUUAAAGAGAGAAAUCUUUGCCCCUUUUCAUAAUAAUAAUCAUAAGACGGGAUAUGAAAGGGUUUUGGCCCAGAUAGGACACUGUAGCCAGAAAAGCCACAACUGGAAGCAUAAAGCCCCAUCUUCCAUGCCCCUAGGAAGUUACCUGUGAUGCCAUCUUCCCACCCCUGGAAAUUUACAUAUGGCGCCAAACCUAGGACCAAUGGGCUACCUGUGCAUCCCUAAUGCAUGCCUUAGGUUCCACCCCAAACUGAGGCUAUUUACAGGCCCCCACACCACGUGUCCACCAGGGAGAGCGCCGGACGCCAGCGGUGGGGGUGCCGGUCAUCUCUCUCCAUGUUCUCAGAUUAAAGGCCACUUUUUAUUUUAUAUUUCUCAUCUUUUGUUAAUAUUUUUCAUCUUUUGGAAAUAACCCUAGCAGGCAUCAUAAUGAAUCCCACUAUCUUCACAGCUGUUGCCUAAACUUUCAAACCUGGUACUAUCAAGCAAAACAGAAUAGAGGAACAUCAGUCAAAACAAGAUUGUGAGAGCAAUACAGGGCUUUAAAUCAAGAUAAUGGAAAGUCAAAGUGGGUUACUAUAAUAUAUCCUGCUAUUUUAAAAUUUAUUUUUCCCUUAAUUAAAAGGAUAAAAAAGUAAAUAAUAAAAUGGAGAUUGAGAUAAAAGUGGGCAUAACAGCAAAUCAGCACAGAUCAAAACCUAACCAUUUAAGCAAAAUAGUGUUUCACCACAAGAUAAUCCUGACAUAAAUGUAGUUACCAUAUUGUCUCUUUCCUUGAAAUCUUUGAGUAUAACUUCAUAUACCGUAGCAUCAAAUAUAUCAAAACAAUGUAAAACCAUUUAAGAGAAUGACAGCAUUACAGGGUAUUUAGAAUCAACUAACAUAAAAUGAACAAUGGUUUCUGUAUAAUCUCCUUGUCUAUAAAAGGUUUUGCUCAUACUAUCAUAUAUAAUAAAAUCCAAUAAGAUACCACCUGUUUAGACCAAUGGAGACAGAAGAACAAAAGCUUGAUGAGCCUUCAAAACAAGAUGAUACUAAAUCAGUAUUACCUCUUAAGACAUCAUUUUCUCCAAAAUAGCUGUUCCUAUCAUCCAAUCUUCUCUGCCUCAUUUCUGUUGAGCUCUUUUUCUGUCAUUAGUUGUCA